rnacentral:rRNA from 1 species
UACGUAGGGUGCAAGCGUUGUCCGGAAUUAUUGGGCGUAAAGAGCGCGUAGGCGGUCUGUCGCGUCGGCUGUGAAAACCCGGGGCUCAACCCCGGGCCUGCAGUCGAUACGGGCAGACUAGAGUGCGGUAGGGGAGACUGGAAUUCCUGGUGUAGCGGUGAAAUGCGCAGAUAUCAGGAGGAACACCGAUGGCGAAGGCAGGUCUCUGGGCUGUAACUGACGCUGAGGAGCGAAAGCAUGGGGAGCGAACAGG